GCCUGGUUGGCUCAGUUGGUAGAGCAUGUAACUUUUGACUUCAGGAUUGUGAGUUCAGGCCCCAUGUUGGGCA
rnacentral:tRNA from 1 species